rnacentral:rRNA from 1 species
UGGGGGAUAUUGCACAAUGGGCGAAAGCCUGAUGCAGCGACGCCGCGUGGGGGAUGAAGGCUUUCGGGUUGUAAACCUCUUCCGCUAUCGAACAAGGCCCGCUUAGGGUGGGUUGAGGGUAGGUGGAGAAGAAGCGCCGGCUAACUACGUGCCAGCAGCCGCGGUAAUACGUAGGGCGCGAGCGUUGUCCGGAAUUAUUGGGCGUAAAGGGCUCGUAGGCGGCUUGUUGCGCCUGCUGUGAAAACGCGGGGCUUAACUUCGCGCGUGGAGUGGGUACCGGCAGGCUUGAGUGUGGUAGGGGUGCCUGGGAUUCCAAGUGUCGCGGUUGAAUGCGCAGAUGUCUGGGGGGAAAACGAUGGGGAAGGGAGGUCACUGGGCCAUUACUGACGCUGAGGGGCGAAAGGAUGGGUGGCGAACAGG